rnacentral:tRNA from 1 species
GCCUGGGUGGCUCAGUCGGUUGAGCGUCCGACUUUGGCUCAGGUCGUGAUCUCACGGUCUGUGAGUUCGAGCCCCGCAUCAGGCU